UUAGGGGUAUGCUGCUGUGUUAGUUUUGGGUAUUAGUAAUUGAUUCAUAGUUUGAAUUGUUGCUGAUAAUGGUUAUGAAUUUGAGGAAGGGCAGAAAGGAAUGUUGGACGAGCCAAGGAAGUGUAAUUGUAGCAAAGGUGGUUUGUGAGUGUAAAGAUAAAUUCUUGGGUGUAGAGAGUAAUCUGGUUGCAGCCCUUUCGCAAUUAAUAAUAAGGUGAAUCCCUUGGCUUCUAUUGUUACUCUAAAGUGUUUAGUGUUUUUCGAUUUGGAGUAUCUUGUAUUAGUAUUGAGAUGUUAAAGAAUGGGAAUUAAGGGAUUUGUUAUUCAUUUAUGCAAUGUAAUUUUAUUUAGGGACUAGUCUUAAGUCUUGGAUUAGACUAUUGGCUAAGGCUAAAGAUAGCUGAUAAUCUGGAAGCAGUUGAGAUUAUUAACUUACGGUUUGGGUUAAUUUUCUAAUUAAAGGACUCAAGUAUGUGCCUAUGGACGUAAAUGAAAGUUGAGCUAUUGUAUCAGAAUGAAGGAAGAAGAAGGCAAGAAGAAAUCAAAGAAAACUAGAAAGAUUUUGUUCAUUUACAGACUUGGAUUGAAUAUUACAGAGAGAAUGUUUUUAUACUAUCUCAAAAUAACCACAUCUGACCUAAUACCUAUUAUACCCUUAAUAUCCCCCUCAAACAUAUGUUUGGGUAUGUUUGGUACCCAAACAUGUGUUUGCAGCAGUAACAUCAUAUGUAACUAAGAAGGAAAUGAGGCACUGUGAUGAAGAUUGUAGACCAAGUAUUUUAACCUGGAGGAAUGAGAGGCAAAUACUGAGAAGUAUUUACAUAUGAUAAGGAGUUCCAUAGACUUGGUGGAGAAGAGAAUGAAUUAGCCAUAACUUGAGGUUGUAUGUAGUAACAGCUUUUAGCAGAAUGCCCUUUCCUCUUGCAAAUUUGACACUCAAUGAAUGAACUUGAUGGAAAGUUUAGAAGCUGAGAUUUCCUAUAACCACAACGGUACGCACAAUGUCCUCGUUUGCCACAAAAAUAGCACACAACAAUAUUAGAUCGAUUUUUCUGGCUAAAGAAACUCCCAUUUGCUGGAGAGAUACCAUUAGUGUGAGGGUGAAUAGACAUAGAACCUGACGAANAAGGACUAAAAGNGUGAUUCAGAGUAG
rnacentral:lncRNA from 1 species